GUGCUCGCUUAGGCAGCACAUAUACUAAAAUAGGAAUUAUACACAGAAGAUUAGCAUGGUCCCUGCACAAGGAUGACAUGCAAAUUUGUGAAGCGUUCCAUAUUUUA
rnacentral:snRNA from 1 species